rnacentral:lncRNA from 1 species
GUUUGAUAUGUUUCUUUACAGAAUGCAGAAAACACAUCUUAAAAUCAUAUAGAAGGAAAUAAAAACACAUCAGUGGUUGGUGAACACUUGAAUGUGAGAUUGGCUCUCCAUCUCACAGAGUCCAACGACCAUCACCAGCCCAGCGCUCAGGGGAGCAGGCUGCCUGCAAAGGCAUUGUUGCUGUUGUUAUUCUGUUCACUGCCCCAUCGCCUCCAGUUGCUAUGGCAACAGGCCAUUCUGGGCCAGCCACGUCUCUGCAUGGCAGUGCCCAAUGGUGGAGUUGCUAGGGGCGACGGAGCUGUUUGGAAGGCCUUUCAAAGCCCUCACCUGGAACAUUGGGAAUUGUUUAUUUUUUGAUGAGGUCAUCAGAAAUAAUCUCACCAGGUCAGAUCCCACUUGUGCUCCUGUCUCUGGGGCACCAGGGAAACUCUGACUUGGAGGCAUGAGCCCAGUCACCAGUGGUCCACUGAGCCCGCAUUUACAGGCUCCCCCACAGGGGCACUGCUCACUCCAGAGUACCCCCUGGGGACUGGGGCAGGGGAGAGGGGCUGGGCCCUGUGGGAGAAGGCGCAAGGGGAAAUGCCCUCUGGAGAGCAGUAGGACAGAGACCUCUCCCCCCCUCCUACCAGCCCUCCCCUCCUGAGGCAGCACACACAAAUCCUCUGCAAAACAGUCGAUAUGGCUUAGAAGUAGCUGCUCUGUGUGCAAAGGGAGCCUGGGUCCACCCACCCACCCUCAAUCAGGGAAUGGAUACAUUAUUGCGAAAGGCAUUCCUCCCUAAAAAGUACCCAAAAUAACGCUUCAGACAUCAAGAAAAGUCAUGCUCAAAAUGGUUUCUUCCACAGGAGGAGAAUCGAAGCAGAGUGGGCGCCCCUGAGUCAUGGGACAGAGAUGCAGAUGGACGGACGGAUGUUCUGCUAAAAAAGGCAAAAGAACCCCAGUGUAAUUCCAGAAUUUAAACCAUUAGGAAAAGUAGGGGGAAAAGAAUCAAAACAAGCAAAGCCGUCAGUUCCAUGGAAUCAACACUUAAGAGCUCGUACAAACUGCUCUAGACACACGUGAAUAGAAAAAACAGUACAGUUAGUGUUAAAGGCAAAACGCAGAGAGCCAGGGGGCCGCCCGGCACUGCCUGCGAGUUCAUUCAUGGUUCCUCGCUCCCUCCACCUCCACUCCACAUGGUGCUUUCAGAGCCAGCCAUCAAAAAUGAAGCGAAGAAUUCUCUAUGAACAAACCAAAAGCUGUUAGGCAAAAAAUAAAAAUAAAAAAGUCCCCAAAGUCUCUCCAGCUGCUUUGGGGUUUGGGAGGACCAGAGAGGGCGGGCUUGUCCAGGCCCCUGUGUCAGUGUGUGCUAGGUCAGGUGUCGGCUCCCGGUGGGCAAUGGUCUGCAGGCCACCGGUCUCCACAGACAACACCAUGUCGUCUCCAGGCCCCUGCCCUACCCUGCCUCCACCCAGGCGCUUGCGGGUUAAGGUGGGACAUAGGGAGGAGGUGACCGGUAUGGGGUCAUGUUCUUGGGACGGGAGCCCUUGCCCUCCAUGGGUGCUGUGAAGGGCGGUGGGGGCUGGUAGGGAGGCGCAUUGGGAUCCUCAUCCCGCAGGGGCGUGUACUCUCCCAUGGUGUCCUGGUUCAGAGGAGUGGUCUCGGGCACACUCUGGUUGGGGUACUCAGGAGGGGGUAGGGGAGCCUUCUCCUCCUGCAGAAUGAGUGGCAUGCUGGAGGAGGGUGGGGGCUUGGAGUCGUCCAGUUCGUCUGCAAAGAUGAUAGGCACCCCCUUCUUGAUGAAGGUGGCCUGGUCCUCAAGGGUAAGCUUGCCCUUCCGCUUCUUGCGGUAGCAGAUCAUGGCAAUGAUGCCAGCAAUGAGCAGGAUGGCUGCGACCACCACGGCCGGAAUGACUGUGUGCAGGUAGACAUCAUCCUCACUGCUCUUCUCAGGGUCCCUGUCAGGCACUUCUGUGGGCGGCGCCUCUGAGGGCACUCUCCUGGGUGGUACCACAGGGAUAAACUGUAGGUGCCGACAACUGCCAGAGCCCGUCACAGUGAUGCUUGUGGCCUUAAAGUCAGGCUCUAGGGCGUUGGAGAAGGCAGGCCGAGGUUUUCCAUCAUCCUCAGCGAUCCGGCGGCUCAGCCCAGCGAUCUGCUCCUUGGGGCAGGGCUCCAAGGGCAGUGUGUUGUUGGUCCAUUCCACCACGAUGGAGCCCCGGGUGAUAUUCUGCAGGGUGAUGGUGCUACAGUUUCGGUCUCCAAAGGCGAAGGCCAGUUUCUUUACCAAGGCAAUCUUCUUGUGGAUGUCAUUCAACACCAGUGCCGGGUCACCCACAAACUUGGCCUUGAACCUUGCAGGAGCCCUAUCCCCUUGGGGGCGCCUGUGGACGUGGAUCUCGAAGGCAUCCACAGCCGACAGGCCCCCCUUGUCUGUGGCAUGCAUGAAAUACUCGUGUUUGCCCACGUGGCUGCUGUCGGGAAGGCCAUACAUGAGCUGGCUGUUGCUGUUGAACUGUACCCAGGACUUCUCGCCCACCAGCUGCUGCUCCCGCAGUUUCAGGGUCAGCUUCAGCUUGUCAGUGGUGGUGUCCUCAUGGUCAUAGAAAGUGUCUGACGGGAUCUUCACCUCAAAGUAGGUGCCAACCCAGGCAUCUACCCUGUCAAUAUGGUUCUUGAGCUCUGGGCGCUGGUUGGGUUCUCCGCCACGGGGCACUCCACUGGUGGUGGUGCGAAUACGAGUAGGCGGUGAGGCAGUUUCCAAUCUGGUGAUGGAAACUUUGGUGGUGACCCGGGGCACUGGCCGGGGUGUCCGUGGUUUCUUGGUUGGCCUGCGAGUCGUGGUGGUGGUGGAGUCAGUUGAAGGCGUUGCUGGUUUUGGUGUGGAUACUCGUGGCUUCUUGGUGGUGGUUGUGGGAGGGGUAGCAACUGCAGUAGGCUCCACAUAGCCAGGAAUGGUCAUCGUUGGGCGAAUCUGGCCAGGAACUGUGGUGCCAGCUUCUGACACCCGAGUAGGCUGGAUGGGGCCUAGGGUUGGGGUUUGAAUAAUGGCGCCUCGAGUCCGGAUGGUGACCGUGGGUUUCCCAGGAACAGGAUCCCUGACUGGAGGAGCCAUGGUCUCUGUUGGAGGAGCAAUGGCUGGAGAUGUGGGGGUUGGCACGAUCCUGGAUGGGGGCUCCUGGAUAGCCGUGGUUGGGGGCCCAAUGGCAGUGACAGGUGUGGGUGUAGCAUGGAUCUGCCUCCGGACGCGUUUGGGAAGAGGGGGCUUCUUAUUGGCGAUGUGCCAACCCACCACAGGGUAGCCAAGCUGAGCAGACAUUGCGCCCUCCCUGGCAGGGGCCUCUACACCAUGAAUGUCAGGCACACUGUUCUGGUUCAGGGAGCAGCCCAGCUUCCAGGAGAGAAGGGCCCCAUUCUCCACCACCUUUUUUGCAUUUCCCGGGCCAGCCAUGAAGGCCGACAUGUCAAAUAGUCUGUUAUUCACCACCGGCACUAAUUUCAUGUUGUGAAGCUCUACUUCUGAGAAGCUCCGCAUCCUGUGCAGGAGGUCAAUCCUUUGCUUUGGGGUCAUCUUGGUGAGGUCGGCAUCCAAAAUCACCGUCAAAACAGUCACAGGUUCAUCCGCAGCACAGGCAGAUGAUACCACCUCACCAGGGUCUGGGGAGGCUGUCCUCACCGACUGCAGCUCACUGUGGUCUUCAGGGUAGACCUCGAUGGAGAACACACUGGAGGUCUGGGGGAUGUGGCUCCCGUUGGCCCCCAGCCGUGUAGCGCUCACUGAAAUGUAAUGCACACCCUUAUCAGUGUCAAGGGGGAGGCCCUCCAGGGUGUGGCUCUGUGAGUCCCAGUGCAGCCAAGAUGGCAAAGCCUCCUUCCCUGCCGCUGAU